rnacentral:antisense_RNA from 1 species
CCUUUUGGCGGACGGUGCGGGGGAUCGCAUGAUCCGCCGGUUAACUGCUUUGUACGACGCCGGUAUGCCAACCCGCACCGUCCGCCACCCCG